rnacentral:lncRNA from 1 species
UUUUUAAAUAUUGUGCCAACAUUUUCAUCUGAUUCUAUAGACAUAGUUAGAACAAAGCUUGAUUGUCAAUUUUGCUUUUUAAAGUAGUUGGAUCAUUCAUCUUAGAACAAAUUCUGUUUUACAUUAUUUUGGGUAUAUUUAUGUUUGAAACCAACAAUUAAGGUGGUACCUAACACCUGAACUAAAAUUAAUUUGGCUCGUUCAAUUUUCUUAAAAUUUUGACAAAGUAUUUACUUUGACCCUUUGACAAAAAUAAUAAAAAUAUCAAAAAAAUUGAACCAACCGUUUAAUCAGAAAAUUACCUGGUUAUAUAGCAGUUUGACAAACACUCAUUUUUUGAUCAUUGAGAAGCUUAAUAUUCCCUUAAAAACACAAUGUCAUUAAAAUGUUCUGCUGAUUUUACAGAGUUAUCUCCCUGUAGUGUUAGGUACCACCUUAAGCAUGAAAAGGAAGAAUGUUUCCAAUCUUUGUUCCUUUUAGCACAGUUCACUGUAUUGUUUCUUAGAAAAGAGACAUUAAGAUAAUUAAAUUAAUU